GACGAACGCUGGCGGCGUGCCUAAUACAUGCAAGUCGAGCGAAGUUUUUCUGGUGCUUGCACCGGAAAAACUUAGCGGCGAACGGGUGAGUAACACGUAAAGAACCUGCCUCAUAGACUGGGACAACUAUUGGAAACGAUAGCUAAUACCGGAUAAUAGCAUUAACUGCAUGGUUGAUGUUUAAAAGUUGGUUUUGCUAACACUAUGAGAUGGCUUUGCGGUGCAUUAGCUAGUUGGUGGGGUAAAGGCCUACCAAGGCGACGAUGCAUAGCCAACCUGAGAGGGUGAUCGGCCACACUGGGACUGAGACACGGCCCAGACUCCUACGGGAGGCAGCAGUAGGGAAUCUUCCGCAAUGGGCGAAAGCCUGACGGAGCAACGCCGCGUGAGUGAAGAAGGAUUUCGGUUCGUAAAGCUCUGUUGUUAGGGAAGAAUGAUUGUGUAGUAACUAUACACAGUAGAGACGGUACCUAACCAGAAAGCCACGGCUAACUACGUG
rnacentral:rRNA from 1 species